UGGCGGCGAACGGCUCAGUAACACGUAGUCAACCUGCCCUCGGGACGAGAACAAUCUCGGGAAACUGAGGCUAAUUCUCGAUAGGUCAAGAUUCCUGGAACGGGUUUUGGUCUAAAUGAGGUUACAGCAUCUUGUGACUUUCGCCCGAGGAUGGGACUGCGGCCGAUCAGGCUGUUGGUGGGGUAAAGGCCCACCAAACCAGUAACCGGUACGGGCUUUGAGAGAAGGAGCCCGGAGAUGGACACUGAGACAAGGGUCCAGGUCCUACGGGGCGCAGCAGGCGCGAAACCUUCGCAAUGCGCGCAAGCGCGACGAGGUUAUUCCGAGUGAUUUCCGCUGAGGAGAUCUUUUCUCAGAUCUAAAAUGUCUGGGGAAUAAGGGGAGGGCAAGUCUGGUGUCAGCCGCCGCGGUAAUACCAGCUCCUCGAGUGGUCAGGGCGUUUAUUGGGCCUAAAGCAUCCGUAGCCGGCUCAGUAGGUCUCCUGUUAAAUCCAACGGCCCAACCGUUGGUCUGCAGGAGAUACCGCUGGGCUAGGAGGCGGGAGAGGCGGACGGUACUCCGAGGGUAGGGGUAAAAUCCUUUGAUCCCCGGAAGACCACCAG
rnacentral:rRNA from 1 species